rnacentral:lncRNA from 1 species
AUGGGAAGGGGGAUCCCCAGCACUGGCAGUCCCCUUCACUGCGGAGGGGAAGGAGGUAUUUUUGCCAGGUGUGUCCCCUGCCAACACCUGCCCAGACCCACCUUAGCACCCAGGAUCUCCAAGCCAGCCUCAUCCCUGUACAUCAAUCUUUGCCUGCACACCAAACCUGCCCUGUGCACACCAAACCCUCCCUGUGCACACCAAACCUGCCUGCACACCAAACCCUCCCUGUGCACACCAAACCUGCCUGCACACCAAACCCUCCCUGUGCACACCAAACCUGCCUGCACACCAAACCCUCCCUGUGCACACCAAACCUGCCUGCACACCAAACCCUCCCUGUGCACACCAAACCUGCCUGCACACCAAACCCUCCCUGUGCACACCAAACCUGCCUGCACACCAAACCCUCCCUGUGCACACCAAACCUGCCUGCACACCAAACCCUCCCUGUGCACACCAAACCUGCCUGCACACCAAACCCUCCCUGUGCACACCAAACCUGCCUGCACACCAAACCCUCCCUGUGCACACCAAACCUGCCUGCACACCAAACCCUCCCUGUGCACACCAAACCUGCCUGCACACCAAACCCUCCCUGUGCACACCAAACCUGCCUGCACACCAAACCCUCCCUGUGCACACCAAACCUGCCUGCACACCAAACCCUCCCUGUGCACACCAAACCUGCCUGCACACCAAACCCUCCCUGUGCACACCAAACCUGCCAGUACACCAAACCUGCCAGUACACCAAAGCCUGCUAACACACCAAACCCUAGCAGCACACCAAACCCUCCCUGUGCACACCAAACCCUGCCAGCACACCAAACCCUGUCUGCAAAGUAAACUCUGGUCAUGCACAUCAAUCCCUGUGUGCACCCCAUCUUGUACACCAAACUACCUGCACGACAAACCCUGCCAGCACACCAAACCCUCCCUGUGCACACCAAACCCUGCCAGCACACCAAACCCUCCCUGUGCACAGCAAACCGUGCCAGCACACCAAACCUGCCAGCACACCGAGCUCUACCUGCACACCAAACCCUUCCUGCACGCCCGCGUCUGCCUCUGCACCCAGCCCUGUCCACACACCGCACCUGCGCCAGCCCUGCCAGCGCUGCCGACGCUGCCCAUGCACGUGCUGGCACCUCCCGUUCUCACUCCCCUUCCUGCCCGCGCCCCGCUGACCCCCGGCAUGGCCCCAAGCCCCCCGAACCUCCCCAGCGCCCCCGGCACCCGGGCAGCUCCGAGCCCGGCUCAGGGCCGGGGUGUCUCGCAGCUCCAGCUCCGGGGGAUCCCGGCCCCUGUCCCGGGCUCGCUGGCACGGCGCGCCCGGCGUGCUCCGACAGGUGAGCGCCCGGGGCCGCGUUCCUGCCCGGGCCGGCAGCUGUCCCCACCGGGCAGCGCUCUGCCGGCGUGUUCCUUCCAGCACGUCCCUCCCUCCUUCCCUCCGCAUCCAGCCUCUCCCGGCCGGAGAAAGGGGGGAGCCGGCAGAUUUUAA